rnacentral:rRNA from 1 species
CAGCCGCCGCGGUAAUACGUAGGGGGCAAGCGUUAUCCGGAUUUACUGGGUGUAAAGGGAGCGUAGACGGAAUGGCAAGUCUGAAGUGAAAUGCCCGGGCUCAACCCGGGAACUGCUUUGGAAACUGUCGAUCUGGAGUGUUGGAGAGGUAAGUGGAAUUCCUGGUGUAGCGGUGAAAUGCGUAGAGAUCAGGAAGAACACCGGAGGCGAAGGCGGCUUACUGGACAAAGACUGACGUUGAGGCUCGAAAGCGUGGGAAGCAAACGGGAUUAGAUACCCCUGUAGUCCCUGUCUCUUAUAC